CAGCAGCCACGGUAAUACGUAGGUGGCAAGCGUUGUCCGGAAUUAUUGGGCGUAAAGGGCUCGCAGGCGGUUUCUUAAGUCUGAUGUGAAAGCCCCCGGCUCAACCGGGGAGGGUCACUGGAAACUGGGAAACUUGAGUGCAGAAGAGGAGAGUGGAAUUCCACGUGUAGCGGUGAAAUGCGUAGAGAUGUGGAGGAACACCAGUGGCGAAGGCGACUCUCUGGUCUGUAACUGACGCUGAGGAGCGAAAGUGUGGGGAGCGAACAGGAUUAGAUACCCCGGUAGUCCCUGUCUCUUAUAC
rnacentral:rRNA from 1 species